UACGUAGGGUGCAAGCGUUAAUCGGAAUUACUGGGCGUAAAGCGUGCGCAGGCGGUGAUGUAAGACAGGUGUGAAAUCCCCGGGCUUAACCUGGGAACUGCAUUUGUGACUGCAUCGCUGGAGUGCGGCAGAGGGGGGUGGAAUUCCGCGUGUAGCAGUGAAAUGCGUAGAGAUGCGGAGGAACACCGAUGGCGAAGGCAGCCCCCUGGGCUGACACUGACGCUCAGGCACGAAAGCGUGGGGAGCAAACAGG
rnacentral:rRNA from 1 species